rnacentral:lncRNA from 1 species
AAAAUUUUAUUUUCUCACAGUUCUGAAGACUGGAAGUCAGUGAUUAAGGUGCCAGCAGGGUUGUUUUGUGAAGUGAGGGUGAGAGGGAAGAGCAUGCAGGUAGCCUGAACACAGGAAUGCUGAAAAGUUUAUAAGAAACUCCAUAAGAAAAAUGAAACUCAUAAAGCAAAGCAGAUGUAUUGUAGCCACCUAGACCAUGCCUGUCACAUAAUAGUUUCUUUAUAAAGAUGUAUUGAUGCAUCA